rnacentral:rRNA from 1 species
CCUACGGGUGGCUGCAGUGGGGAAUUUUGGACAAUGGGGGCAACCCUGAUCCAGCCAUUCCGCGUGAGUGAAGAAGGCCUUCGGGUUGUAAAGCUCUUUUGUCCGGAGCGAAACGGGCGGCCCUAAUACGGUCGUCUACUGACGGUACCGGCAGAAUAAGCACCGGCUAACUACGUGCCAGCAGCCGCGGUAAUACGUAGGGUGCGAGCGGUAGUCGGAAUUGCUCGGCCUAAAGCGUAAGCAGGCUGUGAAAUCCCCGGGCUCAACCUGGGAAUGGCAUUUGGGAAUGCAAGGCUGGAGUGUGGCAGAGGGGACUAGAAUUCCUGGUGUAGCAGUGAAAUGCGUAGAUAUCAGGAGGAAUACCGAUGGCGAAGGCAGGUCCCUGGGUUAACACGGACGCUCAUGCACGAAAGCGUGGGGAGCAAACAGGAUUAGAUACCCCAGUAGUC